UAGGGAAUCUUCGGCAAUGGGGGCAACCCUGACCGAGCAACGCCGCGUGAGUGAAGAAGGUUUUCGGAUCGUAAAGCUCUGUUGUAAGUCAAGAACGGGUGUGAGAGUGGAAAGUUCACACUGUGACGGUAGCUUACCAGAAAGGGACGGCUAACUACGUGCCAGCAGCCGCGGUAAUACGUAGGUCCCGAGCGUUGUCCGGAUUUAUUGGGCGUAAAGCGAGCGCAGGCGGUUUGAUAAGUCUGAAGUUAAAGGCUGUGGCUCAACCAUAGUUCGCUUUGGAAACUGUCNAAACUUGAGUGCAGAAGGGGAGAGUGGAAUUCCAUGUGUAGCGGUGAAAUGCGUAGAUAUAUGGAGGAACACCGGUGGCGAAAGCGGCUCUCUGGUCUGUAACUGACGCUGAGGCUCGAAAGCGUGGGGAGCGAACAGGAUUAGAUACCCUGGUAGUCCACGCCGUAAACGAUGAGUGCUAGGUGUUGGAUCCUUUCCGGGAUUCAGUGCCGCAGCUAACGCAUUAAGCACUCCGCCUGGGGAGUACGACCGCAAGGUUGAAACUCUAAAGUGAA
rnacentral:rRNA from 1 species